GUCCAGGGAUGGGAAACGAACCCACAGUGUUCUGCUUACCGGGCAGAUGCCAUGUCCACUAGGCUACCCUGGA